rnacentral:rRNA from 1 species
GGGCGCAAGCCUGAUGCAGCCUGCCGCGUGUAUGAAGAAGGCCUUCGGGUUGUAAAGUACUUUCAGCAGUGAGGAAGGUUCAUGCGUUAAUAGCGUAUGGAUUUGACGUUAGCUGCAGAAGAAGCACCGGCUAACUCCGUGCCAGCAGCCGCGGUAAUACGGAGGGUGCGAGCGUUAAUCGGAAUUACUGGGCGUAAAGCGCAUGCAGGUGGUUUGUUAAGUCAGAUGUGAAAGCCCGGGGCUCAACCUCGGAAUUGCAUUUGAAACUGGCAGACUAGAGUACUGUAGAGGGGGGUAGAAUUUCAGGUGUAGCGGUGAAAUGCGUAGAGAUCUGAAGGAAUACCGGUGGCGAAGGCGGCCCCCUGGACAGAUACUGACACUCAGAUGCGAAAGCGUGGGGAGCAAACAGGAUUAGAUACCCUGGUAGUCCACGCCGUAAACGAUGUCUACUUGGAGGUUGUGGCCUUGAGCCGUGGCUUUCGGAGCUAACGCGUUAAGUAGACCGCCUGGGGAGUACGGUCGCAAGAUUAAAACUCAAAUGAAUUGACGGGGGCCCGCACAAGCGGUGGAGCAUGUGGUUUAAUUCGAUGCAACGCGAAGAACCUUACCUACUCUUGACAUCCAGAGAACUUUCCAGAGAGGAUUGGUGC